CUACAUCUUCAUGUUGGUCUACAUCUUCAUGUUGGUCUACAUCUUCAUGUUGGUCCACAUCUUGCAUGAUAAAGAUGUAGACCAACAUGAAGAUGUAGACCAGCAUGAUGAAGAUAA
rnacentral:pre_miRNA from 1 species